rnacentral:rRNA from 1 species
UCUUGGCUGUGGCAUCGAUGAAGAACGCAGCGAAAUGCGAUAACUAAUGUGAAUUGCAGAAUUCAGUGAAUCAUCGAGUCUUUGAACGCACAUUGCGCCCGCUGGUAUUCCGGCGGGCAUGCCUGUCCGAGCGUCAUUUCGUCCCUCAAGCC